rnacentral:rRNA from 1 species
CAAAGGCAUGGUCCCGACCUUAUUAUCAGCUCUAACUCAACUUACACAUGCAAGUCUCCGCAACCCAGUGAAUAUGCCCUCAAUCCCCCCACCCGGGGACGAGGAGCGGGCAUCAGGCACAAACAUUAGCCCAAGACGCCUAGCCAAGCCACACCCCCAAGGGAAUUCAGCAGUGAUAAACAUUAAGCCAUAAGUGAAAACUUGACUCAGUUAGUGUUAAGAGGGCCGGUAAAACUCGUGCCAGCCACCGCGGUUAGACGAGAGGCCCUAGUUGAUAUUACAACGGCGUAAAGGGUGGUUAAGGAUAAACAAAAAUAAAGUCAAAUGGCCCCUUGGCCGUCAUACGCUUCUAGGAGUCCGAAGCCCUAAUACGAAAGUAACUUUAAUAAACCCACC